CCCACCCCUGUGUGUUCCUGUAGAGCCCUCUACUUGCGCUGAUCCUAUUCUAUUGUCCUGUGUAUUCUUUGCUCUUCCACUAGACUGGAGGAUAAAGGAAAUGUGUUUCAUUAAUAUUUACUCCCACUUCCCAAACAUAUCACAAUAAGCACACAGUAGGUAUGUUCUAAAUGCUUGAAGGUCUGUUGUCAAAUACUGCUUCUAAUCCUGGUGCUAGAGUAAAAGUCAUGUGAUGUUGAACACAUUUUGAUUCUGAAAGCAGAGAGGCAAGGUAAACUGGCCAGUAUACUAAUGGCAAAUGUGAGUUGGAGUGAUUUUCGGUCCAUGUCAUAGCUGCCUAGAUUAGGUGAUUUGAUUGGCAUUGACAGUUCUUACAGACCCAGAGAAAUCUCCCUUUUAAUGUCAGGGUAAUGCUAUUUAUUCUAUCUAGAUCUUCCCGCUAUCUGGGUCAUUUAUUGCAGUUUAACCUUCCACAAUGCAUGGGGCCCCAGGUAGGCAAGAGAGCAUCCUGCUUGCUGCCACGCAGGAGCCAUGCAUUCACCAUUCAGCCAAAAAUUUACAAUAAUAGAGAAAGUAUACCAAAAAGAACUUGAAUCUGCCAUUCCCUCAGCCUCUUGUCGUGUAGACACCUCAUUUGCUAUAGACAUUUCUCAGAAUUUAAUAUCUUUGAAGGAAGGGAAUCUGUUCACCCCACAGUAUGGUUGGCCCAAAUCUUAUAAGCCAGUUAUCUGUCUUGAAUAUAUCUUUUCCACUGCUGCUGAGAAAACUGACUGUAUUAGACCUCGAGAUCUCUAAAAUAGAGACGUUCUAAGUGAUUUUCUAGAGUAAUUCUGACAGCAGGCGAUUUUCUCUGUGCAGUCUGAUUUUACAUGUAAACUUCAACUUCACUGAAAUGGUCUUGAGAAUGCCAGAGGAUACACAGAAAAGAUCACAACAAAAGGCUCUGAUGGCCAGAGGCAGCUUGGGGCAUAUGUUGACUAAGGGCAGCCCUAGUCAUAGAAUGGCCAAGCCUUCACAUGCGGACCAAAGAAAAAUUUAUCCAACUUUAUUGGCGUGAUACGUGGUCAUUGCCCAAGAACUAUGAGUCACUUGUAUUUUGCUCAGAAGAAAGCAAAAAUGAAAAGUGGAAUAGAGGAAGUGAAAAAAGAAAGACGAGAAGAAAGGGGAAAGGAAGAAAAGGUGGAAGGAAAUGAGACGGCAACCAAGGAAGAGAAAAUAGAGCUGUCUGCGUGGAAAACUGUCAUAAUAGCCUUCCACAGCUACAGUAACUUGAAGGUACAUGACAACACCUGGACAUGAUCAAAGCACAGCUUGAUCCCUAGGGAAAGGAAGACCAAUCAGACGAGAGAGGAGAAUCCACACCAGAGCUAGACCAUAACGCCACAGCUCUCUGAAGCAGGGAGAAGACUGAGGAGACUUCUGCACACUUUCAGAUGACCUGGACUGCAAGUCUCGCUUUAUUGCCAGGCACUAGCCUGGAGUGCAAUGGCACGAUCUCGGCUCACUGCAACUCCCACCUCUCGGGUUCAAGCAAGUCUCCUGCCUCAGCCUCCUGAGUACCUGGGACUACAGAAAGGAACAAGAAGUUUUGGAGUGACUGAGCCACUGGCAGCCAGCAACAUUAUCUUUGCAAACCCAGCCUCCCUUCUCGUCUCUCAGGAUCUCAGUUGAUUGAAGAAAGCCACCUGUUCCUAGGCCACUGACUUUCUCUGUAAUCAAGAAAUAAUGACCACAUUCGAGAGAAGAACCUCUUUGUUGGUUCUGGUUUUCUCUUCUACAUGGAUUUUGAAAACAGGGCAAAUGUCAUCUCUGCAGCAUCUUUUCAGACUGCUACGAUCAACUCUUCCUCCUUGGUAUCUGAGUGGCAGCAGGAACUUGCCUUUCGUGGUACAUUUCUUACUUGACUCUACCUGCCUGCUUCUCUGUAAAAAUGUUGAAUUCCAGUGACUUUGGAAGCCAAGAGUUGAAGAUAGUGGAGCUACGACAAUGAAUAGCUUGAGUCUUGAAUCACUGCAUGGCAGACCAUCCACUCAGCACUCUCAUCGACCUGUCGUUUCUUUCCCAGCCCAGAAAUGUUCAGCUGCAGAUCCUGGCUUCUUCACACUUGAUUCUCAAGUCCAAAAGUGCAAAUCCCUCUUUAACAAGGUAAUGUGACCCUGGUGCUAAACUGAAAUCUGAGAACAUAUCUACUCUUUUUAUUUUCUUGGUUAGUUUGUAUCUAUGCCCUCAGUGAUUUGUUUGUUUUUUGGAAUCGGAGUCUCACUCUUUUUGCCCAGGCUGGAGUGCAGUGGCAUGAUUUCAGCUCACUGCAACCUCUGCCUCCUAGGUUGAAGUGAUUCUCCUGCCUCAGCCUCCUUAGUAGAGCAGCUGGGAUUACAGAUUCCCACCACCACACCCAGCUAAUUUUUGUAUUUUUAAUAGAAAUGGGGUUUUGCCAUGUUGGCCAGGUUGGUCUCGAACUCCUGACUUCAGGUGGUCCGGCCUGCCUUGGCCUCCCAAAGUGCUGGGAUUACAGGCUUGAGGCACCACUCUCAACUGGCCCUCAGUGUUUUUAUUUCAGAUGUUUAAUAAGGUAUUUUUGUUAAUUAUUCUGCAACUAAAUCAAUUGUCCUUUAAUUUGCCCAUUGCUGUAAAACAGUUUUUCUCUUCCCCUUAAUAAAUGACAGCUUUCUUUCAUCUUUGGUCAUAUUUGGUGUUCAAGCAUGUUUUCCAUAAUAUUGAUAAAAGUAAGUAAAAUGCAGAGAUGCUGCAGGUUUUAGUUUGGCUUUAAGAGUUAGAGGAAGGGGCAGAGGGAGGGUUCACAGCUUUUCAUUUUAUGGUACUGCUUGUGAAAUGGACCUUGCCUGACACGCAAUGUCAGAAUGGCAUGGUUGGCCUGCUUCUAUGUUCCUGUAGACAUGGUAGGAGAAAUGAUUGAGAGUUUUUCCAAUUCGGCAUGGAAACAAACCAAAGCAAUUUCAGUGUGGCAACGAAAGUAAGGAGGAGACAGAUGCUGUGCGGGCUCCAGUACCAGAGCCAGGGGAUGAGAAGCUUCACUGUAACAUGUCCCAUUAUUGCUCCACAAGCUAUUAUGGGCUGCAUCUCCCCAAGCAUGGGAGCUUGCCACAAUGGAAACCUAAAUAGAAUGGCACUCAGUGUUGAAUGGCAAGGCCUCUGAUCAUAAAUGAGAUAAAACAAAAGAUAUUUGAUGGUUAUCACAGAGAUAGACUUUCCUUACUUGGAAUUUUCCUGCCUCAACAUCCACAGGGAAAAGCUACAUGUUGGCAUUUCAUAAUUCAAGCAUUUUGUUUGCAAAUCUUAAAGCUUGAUUUCUUUUACGAAGUUUGUAAGUACUUUCAUAUUUGUAUUUCUGUUUCAGAGUUUAAAAUUCAUUGCAUCUAGAGAGCAAUGUUUAGCUCUUUAUGUAUUAUGGUAUUUUAUUUAUCUAAAGACCAAUAUGUUGCUUUCUACAGAUAACUUCAGAUGAAUAUUAUUAUCUAGUUAAAUGAGCUUCGUCAGCAGUGAGCUCUGCGGCAGGAGAUGCACCUUUUCUUCUAGUGUGACCAUUUGAUAUGGAGCAGACCAAAGGAUUUUCCAUCCCAUUACUGGAAUGUGUUUCUGUAACAAAGUUCUAGCAAGUUUUAGUGUGUAACCCAUUUCAAGGGAAAUUCUCUUCCGUUUUUUUUUUCAAUUAUGUCUUUUAAUUUAUACUUUCCGAAUCUCAUUCCUUUUGAGUGAAAUAUGAAUAGAUGAAGAGAUGUGAUAUCAUAGCUCAUUAGGUAAAACUUUUCCGGAAACAUGCUCCAUCCUCUCUAGUUAUUUGAAUUCAGAUAAGCUUAAAGGAAAAGAAUGAAACAAAGUUAUAAAGAAAAUUGGAAGUUAAUCGCUGCCAUUCGUCAUAAACAAGCUCAGAGGCUGGGAUAUUUGGCAUGAGGACAAUUAAGCUGCAAGAUAUAGAGCACACUCCAUGCUGGUGAGGACGGUCCACCCAUUCUGCAUGUGUCUGCAUCCCUGGGACUUAGAGUCUGGCAAGUGGAAGAGGGAUUUUAUCUUGUUGGAAAAUAUAAAUCGGAAAAUCAAUGCACAUGAAAUUGCAGACGCUGAGGGACACAGGUUCUCACUCUGUCACCCAGGCUGGAGUGCAGGGGUACAAUCAUGGCUUACAGCAACCUUGAACUCCUGGGCUCAAAGGAUCCUCCCGCUUCAUCUUCCUGAGUAGCUCAUGCAGAAAGAGGAGUUUCUGGAAAACCAUGCCUCAAGUGAUCAGCUAUUAUAAUCCUUGGAGAGUGUAACAGUAAAAAUUGUCUUGAACAUUUAUGUAAAGCUUCUGGAAGGAGGCAGGAAAGACAGCCCUAACUAAUGAAUACAACUUUCACUUUUAAGGACCUGCAGUACAGAAAUGGAGAAAGCUCACUAAAGAAGAGAAGGGACAUGCUUCACCCAGGAUGAUGGGCUGUCCCUUUUCCUUUGCAACUGGCAUAACCUUCACCAUGGAAAUAUGGAUUGCAAAGAAAUGGAAACUUGGUGCUGUUUACCUUAUAGCUCCUGCUGAUUUCUUGCAGUGGGGGAGAGGAGGAUUGCACUUCAAGGUCAGAGUAGCUGAGCCAAGUUAUUCCAAUAACCAGGAAGGACCGAUGAAGGUCUGAAUUAAUAUAAUUUAUCAGAAGAGAGGCUCCCCUCCAAGGCAAUGAAAUGAUCUCUUUCCAAAUAUGUAAUGAGGAGUGGCUCGCCAUAAACCCAAGGUAUGUCAGGGCAAAGAUGGUGAGGACUUUAUAGCCUCUCCAGCGUUUGCCUCACAGAGAGUGCCUAAUUAACCAUUUAGGGAUUCAGAAUUGUUAGUCAAAGUUGCUCUGAUGAAAUCCGGAAGGUUGUUCUCUUUCUUGUCACAAGUUGAACUGUUCGAAAGCAUGGCCUCAGAGAUCUGAUUUUCCACAUUGCGCUGGUAUUUUCUUACCUUGCGGCAGGCAAAGGGCUAGUCAAACUUGAAAACUGAAACUUCUUCCAUUGUUUUCCCUCAGAGCAUUUUAAGUUUGUUUGUUUGGUCUGUUUUGUGUCUGGUACAGUUCUUCAUUUUGCUUUUCCAGUGCAAGGCUACUGUGCUGGUGGUGAUGGAGGGGGUGUACAACGGAGGGAAGAAUACUUGCUCAAGGAAGUUUGCCAAGCAGAUACUCUGUAUCCAGCAAUAACAGUGAGGACAGAAAGAAUGUAGUUGAAGAUAUGAGAGGCAAAGUAAUUCAGAGAUUUCCACAGGUUUAAUCUGUUUCCUUCUCCCUGUCCCUAGUGAGAGUUAUUAAAAUAACUACCAUCUACAUGCCCAUUCUGCACAGGGGAGGGAUGUGUGAAGACAGCAAGAAAGCGCUAGCCUGUGUGUAGGGUGUGUAGGGUGAUAUGCUUUACAGCCAUGCUCACUCACUAUUUUUGAUCAUGGGCCUAGAAAUAACCAUCUGGGCAAUCAGACUUUCGCAUUAACAUGCAAUGUUGGCUAAAUCCACAGGCAGCUGGCUGAGUACUAUUUAAACUCAGUGCUGAAUAGGAGGAAGCCCUGACAGGCAGUAGUUAGGGUACACUCAUCUAUUCUACCCAUGUCAACAGUAAUGAUACUGUAAUUCUUUACAAAAUGUGGUUCUUUUUGCUAUGUUUUGACAAGCUGGCUGUUAUUCUAACUUUCUGUAUUAUUGGAAAUACAUAGACUAGACACUAAUAUACAUAUAUGCAUAUGCAUGUGUUUAUGUGGCUGUAUAUAUUUAUGGACGAAUCCAUCCCAGUCAAUCAUCCAUAGUUACUAUGUAUACUAUGCAAAGUACUUUAUUGUGUGAGAUAGAAAAAUAUGGAAACAUUGUAAGCACACUACAUGCAGGGGAGGUUGAUUCAACUAUUUUCUGGAACUCACUUUGUUUCCAUUAAGUGAUUUAGAAAGAUCGGGCAGUAUCCGAUAUCAUUUCUAGGUCUUUAAUUCUGUGAUUCCAUCAUUUUGGAUAGAAAUUAAGUAUGCUGUUAGGGUGCGGUGGCUCAAGCCUGUAAUCCCAGCACUUUGGGAGGCCGAGGUGGGUGGAUCACAAGGUCAAGAGAUCAAGACCAUCCUGGUCAACAUGAUGAAACCCUGUCUCUACUAAAAAUUCCAAAAAUUAGCUGGGCAUGGUGGCGCGUGCCUGUAAUCCCAGCUACUCGGGAGGCUGAGGCAGGAGAAUUGCCUGAACCCAGGAGGCGGAGGUUGCGGUGAGCCGAGAUCGUGCCAUUGCACUCCAUCCUGGGUAACAAGCACGAAACUCCGUCUCAAAAAAAAAAAAAAGACACACGACUGGAUUAGCGGUUACAAGCUUAAGCUUUGGUGUCAGAUUCACUUUAAAUACAAGCGUAGCUUCUGCCACUUAAAAGUUCUAUGACCCUGUGGCAUUUAUUAAAUUGGGCUUUGGUAUCCCCAACUAUAAAAUGGGAAAUUGCCAUUGUGAUCUAGCUCCUAGGGUUGUUUUAUAGAAUAAAUGUGAUAAGGCACAUAAAGCAUUUUUCAGAAAUCAUGGUAAAGGACAAUUAUUACAAAAAUGUUAGCGCUUUUAUGCUAUCAUGAUGGUACUUAUGGAAGCAUUGGGGAAAAGUAAGUCAGCAGAACUCAGUAAACUUGAUUCCUUUGCACUGCCUUUCUUUGUUGGAAAACUGUUGACUGGAUAGAUUUUUUUUUCCCCUCCUGGGGAAAAGUGAAGUUGUGCAUUGCUUUGUGCAGUUUGGAAGUAGAAAGAUGAUCUCAUGUGUAAAUCACUGAAUUUAUGUUAGUUCUAAUCAUUCCCACAAGUACAUCCAGGCUUUGCAUGAGGUAAAUACAUACAUUUAUUAAAUCAGUUCAUAAACAGUGAAGAUAUAUGUGUAUGAAUUUCUGUAUAGACACAUAAAAUCAUUUGGGUAUUUGUAUGUUCGUAGGAAAGAGCCAGUAACUAUGGAUAGGUUAGAAGUCAGAAAAUGCAGAUUUAAGUAGGACUCUGAUACUAACUUGCAGUGUCAUUGUGGAUAAGUUACUUAAUCUUUGUAGUCUCAGUUUACUUCUUUAUGCAAGUAGGGCUUUACCUAUUAAAUGAUCUCAGCUCAAACACUGCCCUGAAAUCUCAUGACCCUUUGUCAAUGGUAGCUCCAUGAAUGAUAACCCAGGAUAACUAGAAUGAACUAGUUCAAUAUUUCUCAAAUUAGAGUGGGAAGUCUCAAGAGUCCAGACAGUGUCAGCUCAAUCAGCAAUCUCAAGACCUCCUGACCAAAAGUUGUCCUGUUCACAUGGCCCUGUCCCCACACUGCCUGCAGCCAAAAAUCCAAAUAGGCAUUCACAGCUAUUUGUCAAGCACUGUACUUGAUGCUGGAAAUCUAAGCUGGAAAGCACAUUUUCCUAAUGGGGAAGACAUGUAAUAUUUACACUAUUUUAAAGACUGGCAAGCACACAGAAAAAAUACUAAAUAUUUCUGUUAAGUUCUGAUAAACUGACACACAGGUUUCUUUGGAGAUGAGUUUUGAAGGAUGUCAGAGAAUUGAUCUGUUGGUAAAGUAAUGAGGAGAUAGCGAAAGUUCUCAAGCAAAGGAACAAAAAAAUUUUUAAAGAUACAAAGGUGUGGGAAAUCUUGAUAUAUUCAGAGAAUAGAAUUACUGUGGAUGUACAAUACAGAACAUUGGUUAAGAGGCCAGAUACCAAAGUCAAAUGAUCUAGGUUCGAAUACCAACUUCAUCACUUAGGUGCAAAUAUGGUGUUAAUUAUUUGACUUUUCUACUUCAGUUUCUUCAUCUGCAAUAUGAGAACGAUAAGGUAUUGUAAGGAUAUAUUUUUGAAACAUAUUCGGUCCAUAUGAGCUAUUUUUCUGAGUAUUAAGUAGACGGGGUUAAGUGAGACAACAGAGCAAGGAGACACUGAAGAGGUAGACUGUAAUCUGUUGACAGCCAGAGCCUGUCUUAUGCCUUGUCAAAAGAGGUCUCCUAGAUGUGCCUAUGGGAUUUAUGCUGGAGAGUCCAGUGGCCAUAUUAAUGGCAUUGUGGCAGGUAGAUUAGGAAAAGGGAAAACUGGAAGAAGAGAGUCUUUUCAUAAAAAAAUAAGAGUUGGGGAAUAGUCUGAUAUUUUGCCUUAGGUAACAAGAUGAAUCACAACCAUUAACAUCUGAGACAUCUGAAGAGGAAGUGCAGGUCAUUGAGAAAUAUGAUAAAUUCAAUUUUAUUGCAUUUACAGUGUCUGUGGGACAUUAGCUGGAGGUAUUCAAUGAAUGCUCUGAAAUAGAGCAAUGUCUCAGAAGAAAGUCUGGAAUAGUGCUGUCCAGUAGAAACCUACUGUGACCCUCAAAUGCAAAUUAUUUAGUAACUACACACACAAGGGUAAGCAGGCAUGAAUCUUAAUUACAUGUUUUAUUUAACACAAUAUAUCUAAAAUGUUAUUUCAUCUUGUAAUCAAUACAAAAUUAUUAAGAAGUUUUCUUGCCAAGUCUUACACUUGGUGUGUAUUUUACACUUAGCACAUCCCAAGCCAUAUGUCAAGUGCUCAGUAGCCAUAUAUGGCUAGGGUACUACUGUAUGGGACAGUACAAUUCCAGAACAUGGUAAUGGGGAAGAUUUAUACAUUAAGCAAUGAUCAGCUGAAAAAUUGCUGGCAGUAUGCUAGGGCCAAGAAUUCAGUGAUGUAUAACAGAGGCACAGUUUCUCCUUCACUAACCUUACAGUUAUUAGGGAACAUCAGUUCUGCUGGCUUUCAUGUUCUUUCGGUACAAAUUAGGUAACAGUGAAGUCUCUGGGCAGAGUUAUCCCAAACCAGGGGUCACAGAGCACACAUGAGAUUUCUCUGCCUCUCUCUUUUUUUUUUUUUUUUUUUUUUGAGACAAAGUCUCGCUGUAUCACCCAGGCUGCAGUGGUGUGAUCUUGGCUCACUGCAACAUCCACUUCUGGGUUCAAGUGGUUCUCCUGCCUCAGCCUCCCGCAUAGCUGGGAUUACAGGUGUGUGCCACCAUACCCACCUAAUUUUUGUAUUUUUAGUAGAGACAGGGUUUCACCAUGUUGGCCAGGCUGGUCUCUAACUCCUGACCUUGUGAUCCGCCCUCCUCGGCCUCCCAAAGUCCUGGGAUUACAGGCAUGAACCACUGAGCCCAGUCAAAAUUUCUAUUCUUCUUUACCCUCUCCGCCCUGAAACUUUCUGUAGUACAAAUUGUACAAAGUCAUAAGUGUGGAUGCCACAAUUAACCUUGACAGGGAAUGCAGACAUUUACAAGUAAUGAAAAGAAAAUGGGAGUGUUCUAAGGGAGGAAACUCAUGCGAGGGGACUUGGUUGCUUAAAGAUCAGGAAUGUCACUGAAGUAAUGACAUGUAAGCUGGGAACUGAAGGAUGAUCAGUCAGUAGACCAAUGGGAAACUAGAUGGAUAUUCUAGGCAGAAAUCAGGAUACAUUAGAAAGUACAGAGGCGAAGUCCUCAGGGAAGGUCAUGGAGCUAAGAUAAUUUGGACCAUGUGUGGAGAGGAAAGGAGGAAGGACAUGAAGUUAGGGAGUCUAGGGGCUCCUCUGCAGGGCGGACUAUGGGAGCAAGGGAAAGGAGAAAGGACAUGAAGUUAGGGAGUCUAGGGCUCCUCUGCAGGGCGGAUUAUGGGAGCAAGGGACACACAGAGCCAUGGAUACUAGUGUUGUCAGUAGACAGCAAGAGGUCUUGGAAGGAACCUGGGAAGGCACAGUCAGAAAUGCAGGAUGAAAACCAGAAGUGUGUAAUGACAUACAAGGCAACCCGUGAGAGGGAAAAUUCACUUUGUGAAAAGGGCCAACAAUGUGUCAAAAACAGCAAAGCAGUCAAGGCUUAAAAGGCUAAAAAGUGGCUGUGGGAUCAGUUAAUGAAGGCAGCGGUGAGGCCUUGGUGAGCACAGUCGGGAGAAAAGUGGUCGAAACCGGAUUGUAGCAGUGGAAAAACAAACAGAACUUAAAGAAGAGAAGAUGUUUUAAAGAAAGCUGACGGCUGGGAAGUGAAUGAAGGUGACGCCUCUACAGAACGAGAAGGGCCCUGUAGUGUUGGUAAGAGUUGUUGGCUUUUUUAUUUGGUUGUUGUUUUUAAUCAUGAGGUAUUAUCACAUCUUCAAACUUCGUGUUCCCACUGUUCUCUCUCCAACUCUGUUACAGAAAACAGAUACAUCCGGUACUUUUUUUCUUUUUUUUUUUUUGAGACAGAGUCUCACUCUGUCGCCCAGGCUGGAGUGCAGUGGUGUGAUCUUGCCUCAGUGCAGCCUCUGCCUCCUGGGUUCAAGUGGUUCUCAUCCCUCAGCCUUCUGAAUAGCUAGGAAUACAGGCAUGCACCGCCACGCCCAGCUAAUUUUUUGUAUUUUUAGUAGAGACAGAGUUUCAGCAUGUUGGCCAAGCUGGUCACAAACUCCUGAUCUCAGGUGAUCUGCCUGCCUCAGGCUCCUAAAAUGCUGGGAUUACAGGUGUGAGCCACCACGCCUGGCCCAUCUGAUACUCUUCAGAAAUGAACACAGCAGUCAGAAGCUGUUAUUGGAUUCCCUUUGUCAACUUAUUGCACAACUUGGGGCCUUGUGAUUGAAUGGGUGUUGAAUUUGGAUACACAGAAUUGCGUGAUCAGGGACCAUCAGAGGAAGGGCUUGGUAACCACCCUGUCUUCUUUCCUUUCGUCAUUGUUCACGCAGGUAUGAAUGAAGUCAUUCAUUUUCACUGAGCACUUACUUCAUGUUGAGACCUAAGCAACAAGUGUGGCAACAGUGGACUUCGCAGUCAUUUAUUAUGGCAGACACUCUUCUCACCGUUUGACGGAUAUGUCCUCAAUCUUUCUCAAAUCUUCAUUGGACAUACACUACUAUUUCUUCGGCUGAGCAAUGAGAAAAAUUGAGAGAGAUUAAAAAUGCCAAUUAGAGGUGCAUGGCUGCAUCCAUCAGGCUCACAGGCUCUAAAACAUGCUCAUAACCACCAUGCUACCACACAGUAGGAAUACAUAAUAAAAACAGCGGAUGUGCCUUAGUCCCUGACCAUUUCAUGUGGGAACCUUAGCCAAAAGUCUUCCCUUGAAAUUCUUCCCAGAUUAACUCCAAUCAUCCCGAGGCUCUGGUUUACUAUGCCUUUAUGCUUUCUAUUGUUCCUGUUGUUUUUGUUGGAUGUUGCUAUGUAGUGUUUUUAGUUUUUCAUGUGGAUAAACUGCUGAAUGUUUAUUAUCCUUGUUUGAGUGCCUGGUAGACAUAAGGCCUCUCAAAUUUCUCUCUCUCUCUUUUCUCUCUUAACAUUCUGAGGUUUAAAAAAAUACUUUAAAUGAAAGGGUCACAUGCAGUUAGCUUCUAUACUAAUUUGGUCUUGUCCUUCUAAUCAUGGUUGGCUGGAGUACCCUCUCUCCUGAAUCUUUCUCUUUCCUUUUUUCAGAGAACGCUGAUUAGAUGUCCAAAAGUGCCCGGUGUCCAAAAGUGUGAUAGAAAACAUGGAGAAGGUAUCAUCACCGCUUCACAGAUGCCUACAUUCCAGAGGAUCUCAUCAGAGCAUAAGAGCUCUUGCAGGUAAUUAGUAAUUGGUCCUCACAGCACCCCUGGGUAUGCAGCAAAGCUACACAGAGUGCAGAUGAGCCUUUCCAGAGUACAAGACAAUUUCCUCCUCAGUGAUGGGGACAAUUAUAGUGAUCCACCUUACAGGGGUGUCAAUUAUUCACAAUCUAAAAGCCCUGAGAAUUACAAACCUCACUAGAAUGUGUAUACACAGCACACUUGUGUUGUACCUAAUUGGCAUUCUCCUUUCCCCUGCCCUGCCACCUGCAAAUCACAGCACAAUGACACCCGUGGGUUUACCUUUGAUCCUGGUUAUUGACAUGGAGCCUGCCUCUUUACAUCAAAGAUCUGCCUGGAUCACACGAGAGGACAGAAGAACAAACCCGCCAGGUGUUGAUGAGCCCACGACAAGCAACCUAAAUGGAAUUCUGACAGGCCUUCCCAGCUUUCUACAUAAACAUAAUGAAUCAACCCAGAAUACACACUCAAUAAGCUAUGAGUAAAGCAGAAAGCAACGUACGAGGAUAAAGGGAAAAACAGCAGGUUGAUCUAGCUCAAUGACAGGAAUUGCAAAAAUCCCUCUGAAGGGUGCAGGGUGCAAGUGAAAUAUUCCAACUAAGCUUCUGUUAACAAUUGCUACCAACGACCCAUUCACCUUCGGAUUCUUUCUACUUGAGCCUUUUUUAUCCCCUCCCUCUCUCCUAUCCCUCACCUACCUUAUUUUCAUCUUUUUAUGUGUAACUAUCUCUCUGAUGAAUUGAAAUUGUGAGCUUCAGGCAAGGAAUACAUCCCAUAUAUUAUUUUGAUUCAAUUAAAUUAGAAACACAGUCACAAAAACAAAACCACCAUUUCUGCUUAUGCAUUUCAUUAUUGGCACAUUCACCAUGCAGUUCUUCCCAUCUUCUUUGUCUCGGCACUUCUUCUUUAUUCAACUCUUCAUUUCAUGCAACAGCUAUUAUUGGACGUGUUCUCACAUAGACUAGGAAAUUGUUUGCUACAGAGGGAGUCGCAGGAAUAGCGUCAAUAAAAUAAAUGGAAAUAGCAUUUCUGGAUAAAAGAACUCUUCUAUAUUAUCCACUGACUCUAUCUAAAUAUCUGAGUUCCUUAAAGAUUUCUGGGGCAGGUUUGUGUAGAGGGGAGGCUGAGUAUAAAGGAAGAGGAGAGGAAUCUGAAUGAUCAUCAGAGGCAGAGCCAGAGGAAGGUGAAAAUUGAUAAAUGAACUAUCCACAGAAAUGUCUUUCAAAAUAUAAUUCUAAACCAUUCUUUAGAACCUAAGGUUCUUACUCAAAAACCCCACUACCUAGUACCUUUUCUCCCAAAUAUAUGCAGUGACAUCAUCUCAACCUGGAAUCCUUUAGAGAAGAGUCAUGCUAAUACUAUUACCUCUAUAAUUUCCAGAUGUGAUGUGAUAACUAAAAUAGAUCAUCCCUUACCAUAGAAUAAGAGGCAGAAAGAAGCAGGCAAAUUAUAGCUGAUAGGUCUUGGGACAAUUGCACAAACUCUUCAAACCUAAAUGAUUAGAAAGGCCAUGUUUUUCAUUAGUCAAAUGCUUGCCACAUGAUCAUAAACUUGACCUCUGGUUGAUUGCCUGAAUAAAGAAUUCAGUGACCAAGAUGGAAGUUGUUAUAUUUGUCUUAGGAAAAUGAGGAGUGAGCUCACACAUUUUAAUUCUAAAGCUGCAUUGAAUAAAAAAAAAACCUCUGAAAACACAGAACAAGUUAUAAAUAUACAAAGAAAUGGUUUCCAGGACUUUCUUUCCAAAUAGAAUGCAUUAAAGUAGCUGGAAAAUUGUCCAUUGUGGAGCUAAACAAAGAUGCUUCAUCUCUCCUCCCUUCCCAGUAAAUGAGAAAAUAGAUCACACCAACCAAAGACGCCAACAGUAACUCUCCUGAGCAAGCCUAAGGAACAUUUCCCGAAGCUCAGGUCCUUGGUCAUUGAGCUCAAAUGAAAGGAAAUUUUGAGCAUUCCACCCAGAGCUCGUGGUGUCCACGGUGUGUGUGGAUGCAGGCAGCAUGCACCCAUGAGAAAUCAGUCUCAGAACAUGCUUGUCAAAGCCAAUUUAAAAAUAUUCUAUCACACUGUUGGGAAACACCUCAUUAUGAGAAUGAACUCUGCUUUAGGGUGAUGGGUAUAAACAAACACAACAUGUUAACUUUAUAGAUUAAUGCAUACCUAAUAUUUUGUAUAAUACUUUAAAGACAGGGUAUCGUAGGAGAUCUGAGAACAUAGAAACCAAGAAACAUAUUAACUCCUGCAGUGGAAAUGCAUAAAACAUAAACUUAAAAUAAUAAGCACCAAGCUACAAUAUAUUUUUGUGCCUGAAUUACCCGAUUGAGAUAUUUACAUAUAUUAAAGUUACUGUUGGUUCUCCAUAUCACUUUUGUGCUUAUAAAUCUGGUAAAAAAGGGACCCAGGGCGUUAAUAUAUUAUUUAUUCACUUAUUUGCAAUAUGUGUCUAGCAUACAGCCUUCAAAUAACUAACAGCAUUAUGUCUGGGUACUCUGCACUUGCAAUAUUCAACAUUAGGCCCUUGGUAACAAGCAAGUAAGUGGAGGAUUGUUUCGACUAUUUUGAGCAUUGUGGCCAUGUGGAGGGAUAAAACCAUUUGGAUUUAUUAUAUAGUGAAUUCCAAUUAGAAAAUACAAGAGUAAGGCAUGACAUGGUUCACACAUUUCUAAUUUAUAUUCCGAUGAAUGAUAAUUCUGUGUCCAUAAAGAUACUAAAUUCAUGAUCAUAUUGGAUAUAACAGCCCAUUGAGACCCUAUCCUUGGGUAGAAUUGAAGCUGAUCACAUUUCAAGAUAGGUUUAUGGUCAGGUAACAAAAUGUUUAUGCGCCCAUACACAGCAAUAGCAGAAAAAUUCCUCCCAGGACUUAUCUUUGGCCCCUUGAGAGCUUCUGGUUGCUUUUCACUGUUGCCUGUGUUCACCUGUUCCUUCCAUUGCUUCUUUGAAUGAUCUUUAAGUAAAUACCUCAAGCUUAUUCACAGCACUGUAGUCUCAGCACUGUAUUGCUAUAGGAUGUCAUUCUGGGUUGAAGGAUGAGGUUUUUGAGGCCCAAGGGAAUGAAACAAGGUGGCCACUAUCACAUAGGCAGUUAGCAGGUGGAGGAAUCCUCUCAGUUCCUUUCUUCUUGUGGUCAUUAGGGAGUAAACAUGGACUUGGUCUCAAGUAAGGCUUGUGCUGACAUCCAGUGUCUGCUGAAGGACUUUGUGCAUAUUGCACAAUGCUGUUCAGGUUGGGAUAGCUUCCUCCUGGUUAGGUGACCCCAUGUCCUACUGGAGUCUUUCCUCUAAAAUGGGUGGGAAACAGAGGGUUUUUUUUUUUUUUUUCCUCCAAGAAAACAAGGGAAGAAAUCCACUGUUCCAAAAGGAGAAGAGAAUUCCUAUUCCCAGGUAUUUCCUGCAGAAACACAAGUCCACUGGGCUGCUGAGCUCAGAUACUCUGUGAAAGAGAGCUAGCAGUUUUGGUCUUAUCCUCUAAAGAAUAAUAGAAAAUACUUGCACUCAGCACCGGAUAAUCUCACAGCCCUCUCUAUCGGUACCUCUGUGGAUACGGCUCUUCAGAAACUGCCAGCACCUUGGAAAGACUUCAAACCAUGUCUUUUCAGCAAUGACCUGAGUUUACAUGGCCUCUUUGUGACAGCAGCCAAGUGGUCUGGCCUGGAUUUUUGUUCCAUGCCUGAACUCAUUCUUUGCUGAUAAAGUUAAACCUAUUCGGACUGCCUAUUUUUGCACCUCGUGCAUUCCACGGGGAAUUCCACAAGUCCAGGAUAGCUCUUACUCCGUCCUGCUCUGUUUGAAAGUGCUACGUGGAAUCCCAGUUACCACCACCAAGGCUUGUACAUCUCUCUCCCCGCUUUCCUGAAAAUUGGUCCCCCAACGAAUUUAGCAAGGUUGUCUAGUUUUGUUCUGAGGUUAAAUGUACUCAGAGUAGAAAGAGAUAUUUUCUCUCUGUAUUGAUUAGUUGAAAGGUUUUGUGGCUGAAGACGUGUUCUGGGGACACGCUUUCCUGCUACUCCUUCCUCCUCCUGAUGCGUGUCUGCUCUGAAGCACACAGCACGCUAACACUGCAACGUGGCAGAAGGAAACUGGGAUGAAGUGUGAUAAGGCCUAGUUCCAAUCCUGUAUUUAACUCCCUUUUUGCAUUUAGGCAAAUCUUUAAAAUCUCUUUAAACUUCAGGUUUCUCAUAUCAAGCUCAAGGAAAUAUCCAGUGUACUGUGUGGGCAAUAUAUGUAAGAGUGUUUAAAAACAUUUUAUUUUAUUUUGUUUUAUUUUUGAGAUGGAGUUUCGCUCUUGUUACCCAGGCUGGAGUGCAAUGGCGCUAUCUCGGCUCACCGCAACCUCUGCCUCCUGGGUUCAAGCAAUUCUCCUGCCUCAGCCUCCCGAGUAGCUGGGACUACAGUCACGCGCCACCAUGCCCAGCUAAUUUUUGUAUUUUUAGUAGAGACGGGGUUUCACCAUGUUGACCAGGAUGGUCUCGAUCUCUUGACCUCAUGAUCCACCCACCUCAUUUUAAAGGGCAGGUGAGCACAAGUGUAGAGUGUUGUUUGGCAUAGAGUGGUAUAUGACAGUUAGAGAAUAGUCAUUGCUUUUCAUGUUGUCUGUCUUUCCUCCCCUUCUUUUUAUUUCUGUUGACUUAUCCCUUUAUUCAACUUACUUGAAUUAGUGACAUCCAGCUAUACAUCAGGUAUAUGGCAAGUCCUGGGAAUUGAAGGUUAAUAACACAGCAAUCUAUUCUUCAAUAGCUUAUAAUCCCAUAGUAGAGACCCAACAAACCAGUGAUUACCUUAUGAACACCCUGACAAGGGCAUCUAAAUGAGCUUUUAGCAUCAGGCAAGUCUUCCUGGAUGAGGUGAUAUUUCAAAUGAAGUUUGAAGGAAAGGACGCUGGAGAUAACAAGUUGAAGAAGUAGGAAAUUGCUCCACUGAAAGAGAAUGGUGCAUACGCAUGCCCGGGAUCACGUAGCAUUAAGAAUUUGGGAAUCCAAAUCAGCUGGCAUUGCAGCAGCACUGUAUUAAAGAGACAGGGCCAGGCAGGAGGCUGGAAUGAUGGUCAGGGCCCUUUCCAGCGAUAUUAAAAAUUUUAGUCUUUAUCCAAGGCUUACACAAACAAUGACUUGUUGUUUAAGGAGAGGUCAAAUCUGUGCCUUGCAUGUUUGCAUACCUGUGAGUUGUGGGGACCAACUGCCAUAUAAUAUUUUUUAUUUUGAGAUGCUCCAUUCAUACCCUCUAACCUCAAAUACAUAAAUUACCUGGUUUGGCAGUAUCCUUCAAGAUGCUUUAAGUUUUCAUCCAUCAUAAAAUGAGAGUAAUUUGAAUUUCUAAAAAUUGGUAGGUGUUUCAGUGGCCUGGAUUGAAUGAGUGACUUGAUUAAAAUCCAAAUGUGGGGCCGGGUGCGGUGGCUCAAGCCUGUAAUCCCAGCACUUUGGGAGGCUGAGGUGGGUGAAUCACGAGGUCAAGAGAUCAAGACCAUCCUGGUCAACAUGGUGAAACCCCAUCUCUACUAAAAAUACAAAAAAUUAGCUGGGCACGGUGGUACGUGCCUGUAAUCCCAGCUACUCAGGAGGCUGAGGCAGGAGAAUUGCCUGAACCCAGGAGGCGGAGGUUGCAGUGAGCCGCGAUCGUGCCAUUGCACUCCAGCCUGGGUAACAAGAGCGAAACUCCAUCUAAAAAAAAAAAAAAAAUCCAAAUGUGAGGAAAUAGAACUUCACACUCCCAAACCACAAGCACAGUUAGCCAUUAGAUUGGACUCAUUAGGGCAGUUGUAGUCAUCAUGUCAUGGGAAAAAUAGGUGUGGUGACUAACUUCAAUGACCAUUCAUGGCAUUUAUUUUAAAUGAACUGGAUUUGAAAAGCACUUGUAACGGCUCACUCAGUCAUGAGUAAAGACACAUUAGUUUUCACUUUUUAAAAUAUUUAAUUAUUUUAAAUAAUUUCAAAAUAAAAUGUAGCCAUCAUGGUGAAAAAUGGCCCUCCAAAAAUGAUGAUGAUGAUGAUUAGAUAUUAAUCAUGAUAAGAUUAUGGACCAUCACAUUGCUUUGCUCAAUAUAUUGACUCUGCUCUGUGAACUUCUAGGCCUUCCAUAUUUUUUAGUUACUCUAAUAGUAGAAACUAAUUUAUGGAAAUUAAUUUAUAUCUAAAUGAAAGUGAACCAAUUAACUAUAGGAAGUUUUUAAGGGAAAGGUUUUUAAUUAUUGCCAGUGUUUUGUUUUUAUUUGUUUUGUUUUUUGUUCUUUUUUUUUUUUUGAGGAAGAAUUUUCCUCCUGUUGCCCAGGCUGGAGUGCAGUUGUGUGGUCUCAGCUCACUGCAACCUCCGACUCCUGGAUUCAAAGGAUUCUCCUGCCUCGGUCUCCUGAGUAGCUGGGAUUACAGGUGCCUUCCACACACUCGGCUAAUUUUUUGUGUUUUUAAUAGACACGGGUUUCAUUCACUAUAUUGGAUAGGAUGGUCUUGAACUCCUGACCUCAGGUGAUCCACCUGCCUUGGCCUCCCAAAGUGCUGAGAUUACAGGUGUGAGCCAUUGCGUCCAUCCACCUGUGUUAAUUUGUAAAGGUUUGUGAGUUCUAUUAAAAUUUUCCAGUCCCUGUUUCUGUAAUUGAUUGGUGCUAAUGACAGCAUUUUAUUAACUCAGCAAUGAAGAUUCAUUAUAUGUUCUGUACUCACGAAUUAUUUGGGUUUCUUUCUCCUUUUCCUUCUUUUUCUUCCUUUUUCUUCUUUUUCUGCCUUUUUCUUUUUUUACUAUUCAUUACAUGUAAUCUUUUUUUACCCCCCAUACAAUCUUUGGCACUGACUCUGUCAAGCUUUUGGAAAUCAUUUCAAAACCUCCUCUUGCUUGUUUUUGGAUACAGAGUUUCACCCAUGGGAAUUAAUUUCUUGACCUCUCCCAACUCUUAAUAACUAACACACCCACUCUAACCGACAUCUAUCCGAUUACAGCCUAUUCAUAAUCUUGGAAAUUAGUUGAGAUCACUUAAAAUAUUUGUCUGCUAUUAAUGUAGGAAUAAGAACUUAGGUUCAUUUCCAGGUAUUUCCUUUUUUAGGUCAAAUUGAACAAGCUCUGUGCUUAUGCUCCAGGAGACCCACAAUAAAUAAUUGCAUGAUUAUUCAAAGCAGAUACCCAUGUAGAGGUACAUAAUGAUUCUUCAUUUGAAACCAGCACACAUGCAGUUAUAAAAAUCUUUCUCUGUAAAGCCAUUAUUUGUUACAUUAAAUCCAAAGGCCUUUGUAUUUUUGUUUUUUGAUAACAAGCAUUUUUACCAUCUCUUUUUGGUUGGAACUAUGUUCAGUGCUCUGCCAUUUAUGCUUUAGCCUCUAUAAUGUUAUCGAGAUAUUAACAUAUGCAUGAAGAGUUGUAGUGAAUGUAAUUACAGUGGCAAAAUGAUAAACACAUAGCUAUUUUGCCUGGUAAUAUUAUGUAUUUAACAGGUUUAUUUGUUCAACAGUUCUAACUUUAAUUAUAUUUUGCCAUUUGGGAUUUUUAGACGUACAACAAUCAUAGCUCUUCUCUGGCUAUUAGCCUAAAAAGAUUGCAUUCAUUAUAAAAAUAAUCCAUAUUUGUUUAUUUAAUUUUUUUCUUAAUGUUAUACAAAUGAGCUAAGAAAUGAUAACUUUCUGUGCUGCUGGUAUUAUACUCAUUUGGAUGCUAAACAAAUCCUGCCCCAUUCUUACCUGUGGCAGUGAAAUAUGCUAAACAGGGUGUUGGCCCCAGGCCUGCUCAGUCUCAGCGACUGUGCUAUAUACCUUCACACAAACUUGGAGCUAGUCCUCAAACCCUGGUUCUAGAUCACUCUGAAAAUCUCAAAUGCUUUGGGAAGCUAGCCAACAAAAAAUAAACGAAGAAUAGGUACUAAAGCUAACAAAUACGUGCAGAGGGCCAGUCUCCAUAACAGCAGGGCUCAGUCGUUUUGUGCUCAACCGCAGCAAAAUAGCCUCUGAAAUGAUCACUUGCUGUGAAAUGAACAGAAGAUCUGGGUAACUCUCAAGAAGGUAAGAGUGUGGCAUGGGGUGAGCUCAUGUGAUGUCAGUGAAGAUUCCAGAAAGCAUAUUGAUAGUUCUUUCUCAAAGUGACUGUUAUAUGAUGUGUUCAUUAUUUUUGUGCUUAUGCUGAAGGCAAUUAAGCCUUUAGUUCCAAAGGCUUUUUUCUGCUUCCCAUCCCCAGAUACUUAUUCGGGAAUCUACCUCUGCAAUACUCUUUCAUCGAAACCAAAUUAUUUCUUCUGAUAAAAGCAGACUUUUUUUUCCAGAUUUGGUCAAAAGAUACAUUCUAUUUGGUUAACACAAUGUUAUUGUUGGAUAUUAAGACUUACAUAUAGUAAAAUUUGCAGAUCUGAAGUGUUUGACUUGAUGAAUUUACUUAUGUAUAUACCCAUGUAAUGAUCUCUUAGAUCAAGAAGUAGAAUAUUUCUGACUCCCGUAGACAGCUCUCUUGUAUCUCUUUUCAGCACUUCCCCUUUCCGAAGGAUAACUUGUAAAGAAAAUUUUUUUAAUUUCUUAAUGUAGAUUUAAAGUCAAAAAGAUGAUGACAUUUGAUAAUAUAUUGCAAUUAAUUUUAGUAUUUUGACAUCCAAGUGUUUAAGUACAACUCUUUAUCCCCAAUAUAUAGAACUGCAAAACACAUUUUAAUGAAAGAGCUAAAAGUUCUUCCUUAUUCAUUUGCUAAACAUUUAUUAUAAUAUAGAAAAUGUGUUAGAUACUGGAAAAUAAAGAAUUCAGAACAACAACACACUGCAGACCCUGCCCUGAAGAGAUUUGGACAUAUGACCCUUCAGGCUAUGAUUUUAACUAUGGUUGCAAAUGUGCAUAUGUGUAUUUGUGCACAUGCUACACACACACGUACGGCUUCUAUUUACUUUAUUCUGUUUUUGCACAUAUGCAAAACUACAAUAAAAUCAGAUGAUGAGUUCAUUGUGUUGGGUGAACCAGAGUCACCUCAAUAACUUCCUCCCUGACAGGCUUGAAAUUAAAAGCAGCCUGUAAAAGCUACCAGAUCAGUAAGCAUGUUCUGACCCUGAUGUACUAGUUGUACUCUGGUUUCUUUAGUUUACAUCCUACCGUCUUGGGACUGGAGUCUGCCUUUGUGCCUACUUUUUUAGUUCGAUGCUUCAUUUGGACCAUCUGCUUGGUUCUUGAUUACACCUUUUCUUUGUAUAUUGUGUUUUUGUUCUCUCUUGGCCAAUGCUCCAAAGCCCACAGCCAUCCCCUCAGAUAGCUCUGGCUGCUGGCACUCCGUUGAGGAUUACAGUCUUAACUGUUACUUAAACAAAAAUAGAGUUUUGAUGGCAGGAUUAAGCUCUAAGAAACAAGAUUCUCUUCGCAUAAAUACUUGCAUUUACAAUAAGUUUUUUAGUUCUCUUGGUUCUUCCAGAAAAUACAACAUUUUCCUUGGAAAUUAUCUUUCCAAGGAAGUUUCCUUAAAAUUAUCUUAGAAAAUUUCUUUCUGAUUUAACAAGUGGGCAAGUCUGAUUUUGUUCUUGGAUAGGUUUUCUUCAUACCCUUGAAUUAGGGUGCCUUGUAGUGAAAUUCCUGUUUGUAAUAACAUGGGCUUUUAAUGUGGCCAACAAUUCCCAAUUACUAAAACACACAUAAUAUCUUAAUAUUUUUUGCAGCUCUUGUUUAUCCAUGAAUUAUUAUUACCAUGCUUAACCGGAGAUAGAAACUCACCAUGAACUUAUCAAGUUUUCCUCUUCACAAGAUUUACUUCAGUUUGAAAGAAAUUGCAACUGAUGAAGCAAUUGCUAUGUGUCAUAAAGUAUAGGUAUCUGACAUUCAUUACAAGGAAAGAAACAGUCAAAUAUCAUGGGACUCAUUUAUUUAUGUCAAUAUUAUCUAUAGAUACUAUAGAUAAUAUAUCUGUAGACUAUGUCUAUGGACAAUAUAUCUGUAGAUAAUCUAUAGAUAUAGGCAAUAUAUCUAUAGAUAAUCUAUAGAUAUUAUAGAUAAUAUAUGUAUAUUCUGACAGAGAAGGAAAAACACCACUCUAAAGUGUUUAAUCUACCAUAGUUUGAUAUUGUCUUUCUUGUUCGUGUCAGUUUGAAUUACUUGGUUCUGUUUUUUUGGUUAUCUGCAAUGACUGGGCUAUUUAUUUACAGAAUAGAGGACAUGGAAGCUUACUCUAUAUACACAAAAGAAUACUGUACCCGUUCAAUCAUAUAGAAAUAGAAAACAUUAUCUCAUGGAGAUAUUUUUUUUUUCUUGUUUUGGUACUUUUUUUGAAGUUUUAAAAUAUGUUCUACUUUUGUCUGUGACACAAUUUUGGAUCUUUUGAUACUCUGGAGGACACACUGCAGUUGAGCUUGCAAACUGAUGACUAGCUUUUUGGUGACACCUUGACUGGGUCAUUGUUGACAUCAAAGCCCAUUCUUUCUCCAUCCUGAUAGGUAUAUAACAUAUGGGGUGCAUCUUGCAGUGUUUAAAAUAUGCCAUACUGAUAUCGACAUAAAAAUAGACAUAAUGGAACAGGAUGAGAAUCUAGAAGCAAACCUGUGCAUUUAUGGUUGAUUAAUUCUCAACAAAGAUGCCAAAAACGUACAAUAAAAAAGAACAGCUUCUUCAAUAAAUGAUGUUGGAAAACUAGAUAUCCACAAGCAGAAAAAUGAAACUGAAUUCUUAUCCAACACCAUAUGCAAAAACCAACUCAAAGCAAAUUGAAGGCUUAAAUGUAAGACCUUAACUGUGAAACUACUAAAAGAAAACAAAGAGGAUAUAUUUACUACAUUGACCUGAGCAAAUAUUUCUUAGAUAUGAUCACCAAAGUAUAAUUAACAAAGAAAAAUUAAAAAUCAGAUUGCAUCCAACUAAACAGCUUCCUCACAGCAAAGGGAACAGUAGAGCUAAGAGAUGGUUCGUGUAUUGGUAGAAAAUAUUUGCCAACUGUGUAAGGGGCUACUAUCAAAAACAUGUAAGGAACUGAAUGCAAUAGCAAGAAGACAAAUAAUCCAGUAAAAAUUGGGCAAAGGACUCAAUAGACUCUUAUCGAAAGAGGACAUAUGUGGCUGCCAGAUGUAUUAAAAAAUUGUUCAUCAUCACUAAUCAUCAAGAAAAUGCAAAUUAAAACCACAAUGAGAUAUCACCUCACACCUGUUAGAAUCGCUACCAUCAAAAAGACAAAAGAUAAAUGUUGGUGAGGUUGUGCUGACAAGGGAACCCUUAUGCACUGUUGGUGGAAUUGUUAAUUAAUACAGCCAUUACAGAAAACGCUAUGGAGAUUCCUUUAAAAACUAAAAAUAUGUCUACCAUAAGAUCCUUCAAUCCCAAUACCAGUAUAUAUUCAAAGGAAAUGAAAUCGGUGUUCCACAGAUACCUGCACUCUCAUGUUCACUGAAGCAUUAUUCAUAAUAGGUAAGAAAAGAAAACAAUCUGUUUCCAUCAAGGAAUGAAUAGAUUGGGAAAAUGUGGUGUCUGUGCACAAUGAAAUACUAUUCAGCCUUAAGAAAAAAGAAAAAAUCCUGCCAUUUUUAACAACAUGGAUAAACCUUGAGGACAUUAUUCUAAGUGAAAUAAGCCGGGCACAGAAAGAGUAAUACUGAAUAACCUCACUUGUAUGAGGAAUCUAAAAAGGUUGAGCUUGUAGAAGUAGAGAGUAGACAGAUGUUACCAGAGGCUGGGGAAGCAGAGUGGUUGGGGAAAAGCUGGUUGUUGAUCAGAGGAUACAAAGUUCCAGUUAGAGAGGAGGAAUACGCUUUAGAGAUCUAUCAUGUAGAAUUGUUACUAUAAUAAAAACACAGUUGUUAAAAGAGUACAUUUCAAAUGUCUCAACAUGUGUGAUGUGAUAGAGUUGUUAAUUAGCCUGAUUUUAAACAUAUAUCAAAACAUUACAUUGUACUUCAUAAAUACAGUUAGUAUUUAUCAACAAAUAAUAAAAUUUAAAAAUGAACAGAAAAGAAAAAAAUAGGCUAAUCAUUUGUUCAUCUUACCAUUAAACUGGUGGUUUUGUUUUGUUUUUAAUAGGUAUUUUCUGAGGAAUCAAAUAAGACAGAACUUGAAACAUUAAUGAAAUAAUUUAAAGUAACUCUUUAGAAAAAAUUAAGUUUUUGAGAAGAGCUCAUUGUUGUUUAAUUUUGUAAAGUUUAUUCCCUGCCUUUGGUAUUAAGUUUUGUAUUUUACAUAGCAUAACACAGAAGUCAAUAUUCCCUUCAUGUGUUCUUAAAAUCUUUUAGAAACUGAAUGUUACUCUCUUGUGAAUGUAUUUUGAAUAUAGUAAUAUCAAAUUGCUGUGAGGUAUAGACAAUAAACCCUGGCUUCUGACAUUCUCUCCUAUGUAAUUCAGUUGUUUGAGCCGUUAUUUCUCAUAUUUGCUUAACAAAUUUGUGACUUCUUCAUCGAUUUCAUUUUUUUCAACACUUUGCUACCCUAGACUUUAUUACCUAAGAAUAAGUUGAUUUUUUUCCCUUGACGUUUGCUAGAGUGAAAUAAAAGUGAAUUGCUGCAAUAUUCCCACUUCAGUAUGUGCAUGUCUUCAUGUUUUUUCAGUGUGUUUACGUGUUUUCUUAAUCAUUUUCGCCAGAGCUCUUUUUGGAGCAUCCUUUACAUACUGCUAUGUAAGAACCAUUUUUCUUUUCAAGUUAUAUGUGACUGUUUAAAGUAAUAUACAUAUAUACGUAAAAUUAACACUUUUCUUCAAAAGCAGAAUUAGUAAGAGUGCACGUGAGCAGAAAUGAGAAGACAAGAGGUAAAGAUACAAUAAUUCCACCUUAAAUUAUUUCUUGAUGUUAUUAGAACUUUUAGAAAACGUAAAGUCAGCUAAUUUGGCCUAUUAUUUACUAUAAUCUAUGAAUUGCUAUGAAAGCUGGCACUUAGUCUCCUGAAUAGAUGCAGGGAUAAAGGGCUAUGCUACCGUGGUCCUUCAUAAACUACCAAAACUACCAUGGGCCACAGAAGACUGAAGUAAAAAUAGGUGAAGAGAGUGAAGAGAUCGGUUCCCUACCUUGUACCCUCUAAGAGUUCUCUUUGGACUUGUGGAAGAGAACAGCCCAUACACAUGCUGUGUGUAAAUAACAAAAACAAAAAACUGAAGAAGGGUUCUUGUAAGAAACCAUUGUCUUGUGUCAUUCUUUUUUCUGCUUUGCACAGGCCAACACUUAAGAUGAGUACAUUUCUGGGUAAAGCAAGCAUGAAGAAAGGCUACAAUACAAAUUCCAUAAAAGGUUGCAGAGUGUAUGAAAUUCAUGACCAAUAUCAACUAAACAAAAGUGUUUAGUUUUGUGCCCAGAUAAUUUUUAGCAUUUUAACUAAAUACAGCUUAGUUCUCACUAAGUGAUUCUGCAUGUCCUAUUUAAAAUUAGGAACAUGGAAACUAGUCAAAUGGGUUCCUACAAAACAGUGUAAAGAGAAGGUCCUCUCACUGGUAACCAAUUGCUAUAUAAGACAAAACCCAUAUAUUUUUACUAUCAAAAUUACAAAUGAUAUUCAAUAAUUUUUUUUGCUGGGUGACAUUUCAAUCAUUGGCUAACUUCAAAAUUUUAGUUUAAAGAAGAAGAAAAGAGUUGUUUGGUUUAAGGAGGAGAGAGAUUGUUUUAUCAAAAGCACAAAUCAUGCCUGUGAAUAAAAUGAGUAGGUAAAAUAAAAUGUGUUGGUUCAUUUAUGUGCACUGUGUAAGUUAAUAAUGAAAAACUGGCUAUACCCAGAAUCCAGCAGAUCUUAAUAAUAUAGUUAUUACUAAUUAAUUGAUAAAUAUUAUAUAUUUAUUUGUACCUAUUAUCUUAAGCACAAAUAUCAGACUCAUUUUUUUCAGAUAAAAACAUUAAUUCAUUGUUUGGAUUUUGAGACAGCAACGUGGCAUUGCCCAUUGAGACGUCGACCACCACCUGUGGAAGUCUGGCCGGCAGGCUCUGACUCAAAGAUGGAUGAAUGAACGCACGCCACACCAUCACGUGUUGCAUUUGAGGUCAGCAUUAUCUCAGCUUUGGUGUUUUCUUCUCAGUAGAAGUUGCUGUUAUCAGUUCACCCUCUUCUAAAGCUCUGCUUUUGGUUUUAAGGAAGAAGGAAUGCUUCUGGUAUUGGACUUGAAGUGCAAUUUUAAUGCCAUAAAUACUAGGAGACUCCUUACAAGUGUAUGACGGAUUCAAUGGUGUCAGAGGGCACUUGAGGAAGACUUUCUUGAUGAUUGUUUGAAGGCAGGGAAGACUAUUCCUGGCUCCGUGGGUGCAGCAGCUAUAUUGACACAGACAAGCACAAACCAAGGAUGAAUGUCCUGGAUUCCAGUCAUGUAUUGACAAUAAAUGUAUGCCUUUGACUUGGAAGCGAUGGCGCUGGAAUUUGAAUCCAGGUGUGCUGGUUUGAGAGCAGAGGCGUGACAACUCCACCAUGAGAGUGCAACUGUGUGUUGACUCCAGGUGUCUUCCAUCUGCUGAGACUCCUGGUUCAAAUUUCUGCUCUGACCUUUACAAGUCCAUCACCCACAGGGAAUUCCGAUAUGGUACGGAGAUAGGACAGAUGAACGUUGUGAUCUCCAUGAUUCAGGAGGCUGCAGAGAAUCUUCAGAAAAUUGAGGAAAACUGUAAUUGGAUUUGGAUUAACCCUUUGGCCCAAAGAUGUUAUCUGUCAGAAUGCUGAAAGUAAUAAGAAAAAAACCUUAAGUGAACAAGGUCCGAGCCUCAUGCUCACCUCUUCAGGCAUAAUUCUAUUUCAUCAAACUUGCCUCACAUUCGCUUCUGUAUGUGAUUGGACCCACAGAAAGCAGAGAUUCCACAAACUCAUUACAAUCAAAUGGGACUUGAAUUCUCUUGUCUAAUGUCAUAAUAAGCAAUUAUGAGCAUCUUCUCAGCAUUCAAAUUGGGUAAUGGCAAAGCCCUAGAGAGGCAUUAGAUGCUGGCAGACUCUGGCUGAUGGAAUGUGCAUAUGCUCAAUGGAUCCCCAAAGGCAGAAUGGGUAGCUAGAUGCCAGGGCAGAUCGCCCUCAGUAUUUAGGGUAGACACUACCUUCAAUUAUGACUUGUGUUUUAUAAUCGGGGCAGUUAUAAUAAUAUGUGUGUUCAUUCUGGAAAACUCAUCGUGGCAACAAAACGAACAGCAUUUUCUAUCUAUUUCCCAUUUUAAUCAGAGAAUAGCAAAUGAAUUUCUUCUUUCAACUUCACAGUUCCCGGAUAAUGUCUGGGAAAAUACUGGUUGCUACUAUAUGCUAUUAUUUCAUUUUAAGUUAAAUCUCCUUUGUUGAGUCUGGGAAAGGUGGCAGAUUUUGUAUUAUCGGUGGAGCACUUUGUAGUGAUAAUUAGAUAAAUAAACACUUGCCACCCUAAGGAAGCAGUGCCUCUUAAUUAUUAGAAAUUUUCCCUCCAAACAAAUUAGUUACUAAAUUGUAACUAAGCCUUUGCAGCAAAAUGUGAUGCCCUCCAUCUUUUUUCUCUAAAUCAGGUGAGUGUUAAGGGAUAUUACUGCUUGUAACUGUAUGAUUCAGUAAAAUAAUUAUCAAAUGAAAUGUAUACAUACUAUAAAUCUCUUUACCUUGGAGAUCUUUAGAAAGUACCUUUCAUAGGUGUCAGCCUAGAUGGUAUAAGAAACAUAGAGCCUUGGACCAAAUUAAGGAGCUCUGAAAAAAUAUCAAGGUUUAAAAAAAUUUUUUAACUGUGAAGAAAAACAUGGAGAAAUAGGGAUGUUCUGUAGGAAUGAUUGACAUUAUCUUUAUAAAUGCAUUAUUUUCACCUCUUUUUAGUUCCAAAAACUAUUUAAAAGCAUGUAAUAUGCAUUGAAAAGUAAACUAUUAUGGACACACUAAAUGUGUAGACCAAGCCCUAAAGCUUCAAUACUUAAAGAUGUUACAUCUAUCAUGUGGCUCAUUUUUCCCCUGGCAAAAUCAAUGUCGUUAUUUCAUUUGUCUCAACAACCAAAUUACCCUGCUGCAUGUGCUGCAUGGUUGAUCUGAUCCAUGGUGGAUCCAAUUCCAGCAUCAAUUAUUGAAAUGGUCCACAUUCUGAUGUGGCUGUAGAUGUUGUCAAAGUGCCCUGUGAACCAAACCUCAGUGACAACUCAAACAGAUUCUCUUCGACGCAUAGAAAUCAGAACUCCUUUCGACUCUUCAGAUCAUCAAGGGAAGCUGUUUUAAGAAUGUUUUCCCUAGCAAUGCCUAUUUUCUCAUUUUGUAUAUCACCUUAUUCAGAUAUUGUAGUCUCUCUAGGUUUACAAACACAGUUGCCAAUAAAAGGACUAGCAACCGUUUUUGCAACAUUUCCUUCCUUUAUAAAAUCAGGUGUAGGAAAUUGUAUAGCAUGUGGACAGAGAAAUGAAUAAAAAUGUAUAAGCAUACCCAAACACAUUACAUUGAAAUUAUUUUUGAAUUAUGAAUAAAAGGUUUGCUUUACUUUCACAUUGGCACAGAAUGUAGGGUAACAUGUAUUCGUGCAAUUACGAUUAAGAACUGGAUAUAAGGAUGACAAAUAAAGUAAUCCACAACAAACAAUCAAGUAAUGAUGGGAGCCUGGACACAGCUGAAGAGUGGUCUGGAGUUCAGAAGGCCUGCUUCACACAUCAGCUUUCAUAAUUCUGAUUCUCUCUGCAAUGACGCCGGCCCUCUGUUUCUGUCUGAUAUCGAACGCUAGUGACGCUGAGAAAGAAGCAGAAAACAAUGCUCCCAAGUGCGAGAAAGAGUGAGUUUUUUUCAUGCUUUUAGCAAUGUGACCUUAGGUAUUGAUUUAUAGCCUGCCGCAGCACCCCAGAGCAAAAGGGAACAUUGGUAAUUAAGUCAGUAUCUGCACUUUCUAAAAUAGUGCUGACUUGCCACAAAGAGAGCCCCUUUAUUUUUCCUCUCUGUCUCCCAGUGAAUGCAGAUGCAGGCACUGACCUCUGACCUUUCUCCAAAUUCUCUAGCUGCAGCUGUUAUUUUUCUUUCUCGGGACCUUUAGCUAUUGAUAGACUGGUAAGAUUCCUUAAAUUGUGUGUGCGACUUUCUUUUAAGCAAACAUGAAACAAUUUAUACCUCAAGAUUUACUUUUAAAAGAUAUCUUUAUUGAGCUCAGAAUGAAGAUAAAUAUUUUUACUUGGGUACCUAUUAGAGAUUUUCCAGAUAAGUGCUUAUGCCCAUUGACCAUAUUAAGAAUACACAGACACUUUUUGGAAGAAUUUGUAUUUAAACAGAACUUUCCAUUGUAAAACUCCCAGGAUUGCAAAGUGUAUUGAGUCAGAAGUCUCUUUGUAUUCCAUUAGAGUCAUUACUGAAAUAGGGCCACAAAAGGUAACAGCAAUAAAAUCAAAUACCUUGAGGUGUGCAUGCAAAUUAUAUGCUAAUACAUGGUAAUCAGAGUAGCAUGUUCAGUGGCCAUAACAAAUACUAACUAUGGCUAAUUAAAGAUAGGUACGUUGCUGCUGUGUUUUAUACUUCAUGGCAAUAUGAGAGAGGUUGACUGUUAUGAUAAUUAUAGCACUGCUUGCUUUGCGGGGUACAUCCAACAUUUUAACACUAUUUCUUAUUCUGUGUAUUGGUCCAUUUAAAUGAAUGCAAUCACUUUUUCUGUUCUCCACCCUGGGUCUUAGAUCCAUGAAGUUAGUGAAAAACUGAGUAACAAAUUAAGUCUUUAGCCUCGAGGAAAACAAAUGCUUCUCUCUUUAGCCUCAAGGGAACAAAUACUUUGCAAGUGUCCUGCCCACCUAACACUCCUCUGAAAAUAAGUGUCCCCGAUGGGCAUGAUGGGGUUCAGAAGUCAGCCACACUGAAAACCUGGGUGACAGGAGCCAAGAAUUCUCGGUGUGCUUUGGAAAUGCAAAAAACUAUUUCUCCCAGAAAUAUGCUUGAAGAUCGAGGAUUUUUUCUUAUAGUGAACUCAACAGAAUAUAAUUUUCUUUUUCAUUCUAAAAAAUUUCUAAGGUAGCGAAAAAAAAAACCAACAACAUUCAUAAGAGAGCAUACAGUAGAUGUGAAAUCUACCUUCCUAAAAAAAACCCUGAUUUUUCUUAACUAAAUAAGUUAUGUGUGUAUAUUCAAUAUGCAAAUAGGACUUUAGCCUCUAAAAUGCUUUUGCCCCAUUAUAGUAAAUAGAUACUUUAUCAGCAGAUAUUUGGCUGAAAAUUGACCAAAUUGGGCAAAAAAUCCACCUCAAGCCAAUAUAUACCAACUUACUCAUGAAAAUUAUGUUGUAGUUUCUCAUGGCUGCUGUUACACAUAACCACAGACUUAGCGGCUUCAAACAACCCAAAUUUCUUAUCUCAGACUUCACUUUGGAGGUCAGAAGUUCAGCACAUGUCUCACUGGCAAAACUCAAGGUGUCAACAGGGCUUCAGUCCUUUCUAGAGGCCAUAGAGGAUAAUUCAUGCCCUUGCCUUUUCCAGCUUCUAGAAUCCACCUGUGUUCCUGGGCUUGUGGCUCCUUCCUCUGUCUUCCCAGACAGCAAGAGCAGGUUGACUUCCUCUCAGGGACUCUGACCUUCUCUUCUGCCUCUCUCUUUCACUUCCUUAAGAUAAUGAUGACAUUGUCUCCACUAGAUAAUUUAAGAUAAUCUCCCUAUUCUUAAUAAAUCUGGUGAUUAGCAACCUUAAUUCUAUCUGCAAUUCUCAUGUGCCUUGUAGUACAACAUAUUCACUUGUGGGGAUUAGGAUACGGAAAUGUUUAGAGGUAGGGGAUGUGCAUUAUUCUGCCUGCCUCCCUGGUAUAUAUGUAUCAGGAGUGGAUGCAGAUAUGUUCAAGCCAUGUGCUACUUUCAGUGAUUUCAUAGCCUAUCCCAGGAGAUGGAUAUGCAAACAAAUACCUGUUGUACAGUGUAAUGAGAAGUAAUAGAAGCAUAUACAUGGUCCACUAGUGGCCCCAAAGGAAGAAGUGCCAAAUUUAACUUUGGUGAAUCAUAAACAACUUAAAAGAAAACCAGAGAAUUUACUGAAAUUUUGAAGAAUGAUAAAAUUUCUGCAAAGAUGUCAGGUGGAUGGGGAUUCAAAGAAAAGAUAAAAGUGCAGGGUAUAGGACAGUAGGUAGUACGAGGAGCCCAGAAGUUGAAAAGUUGAGCAGAAGCAAGGAUUGAUAGUUCAGUCAUCUUUAUAUUGUGUUUAAUAAGAAACCAUGUAUGGUUUUUGGACAGUGUAGGUAUCAUAUGCGGUAUGUGUGUUAGAUGAUAUCAUACUGACAAUGGAGAGGAGGGAUUAUAGAGAAACUUAUCUGGAACUGGACACCUCACCAAGGAGAUAAUUGCUAUCCUCCAGGAAAAAAGAAAGGAACUGACCUAAACUAAGUCAGUGGCAGUGAGGAUGGAGAAGGAGAGACGGAUUUGAAAGCAAUGGCAGGAUUUACUGAGUGAUUGGAUAUGGAGCCUCAUGGGGAGAAUGAGUUAAGGAUCCUCCUGGUUCCUGCCUUGGGUAACUGGUUAGGUUGAAAUACCACUAACCAGGAUGAGUGUUACAAGAGGAUAAAUAGCGAUGGAGAAGAAGAAAAUUGCUUCAUCCUGGAUAUGAACUUAAAGUGCUUGUGGGAGGACGUUGAGGAUCUAUCUUUACAACAAUUAAAGUGAAGAGAUCUGGGAUAUUUUGUUGAUUUUAUGUUUAAAGAAAACCCCCCAAAUUGUAAUCUUAGUCUGGUUGAAUGAAGAGAUCAUUUAGAAACCGGAUAACAUGUACAGAAGGGGUCCAUCAACAAGGAUGGAGAAGGAGACAUGGUACAGAGCACCACGAAUAAUGUCAUGAGGGAGAAAGUCACAGAAUGCACAGAAAUGUUCAGGAUAACUAAAGCACACUGCAGUGCGUAUUUAGAACAAAGAGAAGGAAGUCGGAAGGUGGGCUGUAUAUAAUAUUUAAAAAUUACACAGAGAAAGCGAAGUUUACAGUGGUUUUUCUUCUUUCUUCAAAAGAAUGAUCCUCAAAUUAAAAAUGGGUAUAACAAACAUGGUAAAGAGAUAACUGGAUCCAAGGAGACCCAAAGAGAGAGAGAUACUUAAAUAACAUCUGUUGGUUGUAAAUGUGUUCCUGUGUUUAGACUAAGACUAUUCCAGGAUACCAAAGUAAUUUCUAGACGUUUUCCAAAGAGUCAUUACUCAUAAUUUCUGAGUAGUUAUCGUAUUAGGCCAUUCUUGCAUUGCUACAAAGAAACACCUGAGACUGGGUAAUUUAUAAAGAAAAGAGGCUUAAUUUUCUCAUGGUUCUGCAGGCUGUACAGGAAGUAUAGUGGCAUCUGCUUCUGGGGAGGCUUCAGGAAGCUUCCAAUGAUGACAGAAGACAAAGGGGAAGCAGGCUGUCAUGCAGCCAAAGCAGGAGGGAGAGAGAGACACAGAACAAGGUGCCACACUGUUUUAAACAGCCAGAUCUCAGGAGAAGUCACUCACUAUGGCAAAGACAGAACCAAGGGGAUGGUGCUUAAACAUUCAUGAGAAUUUCAUCCCUAUGAGCCAGUCACCUACCAGCAGGUCCCACCUCCAAUAAUGGGGAUUACAAUUCAACUUGAGAUUUGGGUGGGGACACAUAUACAAACCACGCCAGUUACGAAUGAGUGAAGUGCCAGAAGACUGGUGUCUAAAUGGUAAGAAUGCAGUCAUCAGGAGGUUACAGGUUUGUAAUGUUCUCCUUGACUCCUGACAAAUUCUAGACUGGAUUAAGAAGGGUUAAGAAGAUAAUGUCCCUCCUGGUGUUAAGAAGAUAGUCACAAGAAGGGGUUAACAAAAGCACAUUAAUAGGAAUUCAUUUCAUUUAUAUUUUCAUUUUUCAGGGAAUAAAAGUUUAGGGAAGCUAACAAAUUGGAACAGGAGCCAAAUGAAAUAAAAAUUUUAGUUUUGAAAUAAUAGACCCGGAUCAACAUGUUGAAUUGUGCAGGGCCGAAUGUAAAAUUCUUAUGCUUAGGUUUAAAAGAAUCAAAUCAGCUUUACCAGUUGGAAGAUAUUGAGGGCCCAGCAUCAUAACAGUUAAAAUUAAAAGUUCUAGGCUAUUUAGUUAAUUGUAAGUUUCAAUAGGAUAUCUCAGACUAUAACCUAGUAUAGACAUGUAUCACCUCAAACAAGAAAGGUAACAGCUGUAGCUGUCCUGGCAAAAGUCCCAUUUUGAGUAUGGGGUGGUCUUUUUUGUACUAUAUUUUAAGGGGGCAAAAACUAAAAGAAAGGAAACUUUUGGUAUAUAGAAAUCAUGUCCAAUGAUUAGAAGUGGAAGGAGGUAACUAUAAUGUUUAGGUCGAAAGAGACAUAUCAUGUCUUUGGUAUUUGAAGACAAAGCAUGGGAUCGGGCUUCUAAUUAUCAUUAGCUCUAGAAGCUGAAAUUAGUACAAUGAGGUUGUAGGGUAGAAAACAUAAUCUUUUGCUCUACUCAUCCUAGGUUCCUAGCUGAGAUCCCUAUAAUAAAUAUAUAUGUAUAUGUAAUAUACAUACAUAUAAUAUACGUACAUAUGUCAAGACAGAUUAACAAGAAGAAAGCAGACAUUUAUUUACUAUAAUAUUUGUAUGUCAUGGGAACCUUCAUAAGGAAAUGAAGGCCCAAAGAAACGGUUAAACCUGAGUGUAUUUUAUAGCAGGUUUGAUGAGUAGUAGAGAGAGCUGGAGAAAUAUGAUAGGGUAAAGAGUAUGAUUUAAUGGUGAUGAAUUGGGAGAAGCUUAGUGAGGCUUGUGCAUUCAGAUCCUUCUGUGUUGUCCCUUCAUCUUCAGAUAUCAGAAUAUGGUUCUUUUCUCAAGGUAUAGGGAGGACACCUCUUCCGUGAAGAUCUUAUGGACUGCUUCAGGGCAAGAGCAGAAAAUCCGUCCUAGGUUUUAUGACCUGCAUCAGGGAAGAAGGAUAGGAGGUCAGAGAGUCCUGCUUCUGCCGUUUUUUAAUAUGUCAUGGUGCCAUAUUUUGGUAGUGUUUCCUGAACUGUAUUAAGGUAUAAAUACAACACUAAAAUAACUUCUAAAAAAAUAGAGCUUCUAAUAAAAUGAAUCAGCUGCCUGAUGAGAGAUAUGGUUCUCAAUGAGAAUCCUCAAGUUCAAUCUAAGUGAUGUUUUCAGGGAUACUGAAAAGGAAGUGUCAACAUCAGGUGGAAGUUUGAAAUACAUCACUUUUUCCUAAAUUUUAAACUGUGAAUAUCCCUUUUAAUUAAAAAAAAAAACCCUAAGUCUUUGUAUACUAAUACUUCUAGUAUCCAUUACAUAAGAAAAUGUAUAGGGUUAUAGUAAAAAAACAUUUUAUUUGGGUCCAGAAAUAUUGUCAUGUAAGUAUGUAUUGAAAUGACUCAAAUGUCUCUUUUCACAUUUACAAAAACAGAAUUCUCAAGACAUAUUUAUUCCUCAGAAAAUUCAUGCUGCUUCUUUGAAUUCAUAACUCCCUUAAAUAAUUUUGUAUUCUCAAAUACUUCCAAGGUCCAGAUUGAAAAGUAAAUGAGAUAAUAAAAUUAGGGUUCUCUAGGCCUGUUUAGGGCUUGAGAAUCUGCAUUUGAACAGGUUCCAAGAUGGCUGAUGCUGGAGAUUUGCAUCAUAUUUUGAGUAGCCAUCCAGGAUCAUCCAGGUGUAAAGUCUGUUUUAUUGUGUCUCAGUUUUAUCCAAACCUAAAGCUGACACUGUUUCCAUUGAUAAUAUAUAACCGAGUCCCCUGACUUACUCUGAAUCCUGAUUGUACCAUUUACUCAAGCUCAGUGAGGUUGAAAACAUUUCCUAAAAUUUCUGAUUGCUUAAGGAGAUGGAUAUAUUAAAAUUAAAUGAAAUAAUCUACUGUGCUGAAAGUAGUACCUGACAUAGAACAUUCAUUCAAAAGUUAUGGCUAUUGACAAUUUACAUGGCAAUGUAUGUAAAGGUGGUGAUGAGAAAUUAAAUGGAAUGAGAAUACGGACAUUUUGUCUCAUAAAGCAAUGUGUUUCCUGAGAAAUUGCACAUUAAAAAUAAUAGAAUUUAGGGAAACAGACACUCCAAUUAAUCUUUGUAAUCAAAGCACUAAAAAACAAACAAAAAGAUAAUUCGGAUGUCAUGAUGAUGCAGAUGCAUACCUAGAAAUAUAAUUUAGAUUAAAUUAUAAUAAAGAUAAUUUAGAUAAUUUAGAUUAACAGACAGCUCAGCACUGUUAAAAGCUACCUCAGUGGAUAUUAAAAAUCAGCAAAAGCGAAUACAGUCGCAAUACUGAUGACAGUAUUUUAAUUAGUGCAGCAUUGGUGGAUGUGGAGAGGUCUGCAAUAGUGGGCUUCCCUUAAGAUGGGCAAAAGAGUAAGCAAGCGAGGUGAGAUUCCUGGUGUUCCAAGCCCCACAGGGCUGGCCUGGGCUCUCGCAUUCCUUCCGACAUCAUCGAAUAGACACCUGAACAGAUGCUUUUGUGAUUCCUCCUGAAGAUGGUAAUUCUACUGUUGUUAUUUUGCACCUCUCCUUGCCUGGGGGCAAGGAGGCCAGGAAUCAAAUAUAAACCAACCUGACUCCUGCAUUUCACCAACGUCAUUCCCAAUGACAGUGUCAAACUAGUUAUUAAUUUUAGUUACCAAAACCUGCACUGCAGUAGAACAGAACGUCCUGGGCUUUGUAGUCUAUGUCUUAUCUGGAAGGCACUGAGAAGGACCAUUUCCUCUAAUUCGCUUGGAUUCUCUGAUAUCCAAAUUAAUAGUAGACAAUCUAGGUUACCGUGGUGGAGAAAACCUUUGCAAACUCUUGAGGAAUAAAAGCAAAAGGGCAAAAUAGCCGGAAGCAGAAGCCGUUGGUUAAGUAUCUCUUUUACUUCCUCCAUCUUAUGGUGCUUCGUAGGUGAAGACCAGGCUCAGUUAUGAAGCAUUUUCUCCUAGUUUAAAUCUAUUCCUAAGCCACCUCUCCUAAUCCCACGAUACAGCUUCUGUAGGUGAGAGCACUGUUAACUGGGCAAGCAAGCAUCUUCCAAGAGAGCCGAGAGGAUCAGGUGCAACUUUUUGGUUGGUGACCUCAUUCCUUUGGGAAGAAAUGGAUAAAAAAAAAUAUUCAAAGAGAGGCUGCAGUUCUUGGCCUGGUAUCUGGGCUAACUGCAAGCUUUACAGUUUUGCCUUGAUGUGUGUUUAAGCAGCAGCAGCCUGCAGUCUGGCACAAGGAGGAUUUUUCCUCCACUUGUUUUAUUCUAAAUCGUUUUCAAAAGCUCCUGUGGAACACAGACUGUGGCUUUGAUCCGGCCAACUUAUUCAGUACUGACACUCCCAUGAAAAACUCCAGCUCAGACCCGCUUCAGCCACUUUUAAAAUUCUCAUUUAAAUUCAAAUACCCCGUAAUCUUAACAGGCGAGAGAUAGAUGAAGAGCAAGAAAGUGAGAUGCCUCUCGUGUCCACAGAGCCGUCAGAUCAAAUAGAUGCAUCUAGGUAGCGGGAAGAGCGUACAGGUCCCUGAAGAAAAUAGCAAAAUAUUGAUGUGGGCCGUGGACCUCCUCGACAAGGGCUUCUGACUGACACUCAGUUCACAUCAACCUGCAGUGUAUUUAGGAAAGCUUCCUUUAAGAUCUCUGAAUGUUUUAUGCCAUAUUUUUGGUUACAAAUAAAAACAAAAGGCUUGAUGUGGCGUGUAGUGUUUAUAGAAAGAAGCAUCACUUGCUUGGGUUCAUUUUAUAGGCAUUCCUGAAAACAUACUGAUAGAUGUUAUUUUUCCACCUGUAUCCCUGCAGCCUCCUUCAGGUUUACAAUCCAAGAUCUUCCCUUGUUCUUGGUAAUUUGAGGAAUCUUACCGACCUUAAAGAUGUAGGGAGAUAUUUGGAAUUUAAAUGAACCGACAGAAGAGUCACACUUUUUCAAGGAUGUCAUGCAGGAAAUACACAUUCCCUUUUCUGCCUUUCCUCUCUCAAUGCAGGGAAGAGGGCCUGAUCUCCCAUUUGCCUUCUUUGGUAUACAACUUGGUUACUUCCGGUUUACAUUGCGCCCUCCACCACCACCCCCAACUCCUAACCCACUCCACUCCGAAUUUGGUAAUUUUUGGUCACUCUGUAUCUGCAGUCAAAGGCUUCUCAGCAAGCCACCUGGGUAGAGCGACCUUGACUUGUUCUGUGGUCUCGGUGGGAUCAGCCCCAGAAUUUCCUCUAGUCUAGGCUCACUGGUUUUUCCACCGUGACCGGGGCUGACUUUCAUCUACUUUCUAGCCUACUGCGUGCUUUGCUUUUGGAGAAAUAAUAUGGGAUAGACACUCUUGGCCAAAAAUCCAAUUUCUCCAGGAGAAAAGUUGACAAAGCACAAACUAACAAUGAGUAGAUUUUAUCUGUGAUCAUUGAAAUACAUCUGGGACACAUUGUGAUUUUCUAAGUUGCAACUCAGUUUAUCCAAAAUUUAGAGCUAAGAAAACAUAUACCAUCCAGUGAUCUGGGAAAAGAUGGUUCUACAACCUAUUAUUUCCUGAAAUUAUUCUUUCCUUUCUGCUUCCAUUCCCUCUGCCUUUGAUAAGGACAUUAUUCUUAAUUACUAAUAACCUCUUAAUUAGUCCCUUUGCUGUCAUUAGAAAAUGAUGUCAAAAAUGUCAAAAUAGAAGACUGAGAAGACCUCUGUUGCUCCGCUGUCAUUAGAAAAUGAUGUCAAAAAUGUCAAAAUAGAAGACUGGUAAGACCUCUGUUGCUCCACUGUUUAAAAUAUUUCACUGCCUAUCCAGCACUUACGUCAGCAUUUCCUAAGAGAGAGGGAACCAGAAAGAAACUUCAGCAAGUUAAUAAAUGGAAAAUAUGAUUUAGAAAACUUGCCCAGUGAAAGCCCCUCCCGGAGCCUUCACAUGCAUUCAUUUGGAGCGGCGAUGGCCCAAAUAAACCACUUCAAUCCAGAAUUAUUAUUAUUAUUUUUUUUUUGAGACAGAGUCUCGCUGUGUCACCAGGUGCCAGGCUGGAGUGUAGUGGUGCAAUAUCAGCUCACUGCAACCUCCGCCUCCAGGGUUCAGACAAUUCUCCUGUUUCAGCCUCCGAAGUAGCUGGGACUACAGGCGCGUGCCACCAUGUCCAGCUAAAAUUUGUAUUUUUUAGUAGAGAUGGGGUUUCGCCAUGUUGGCCAUGAUGGUAUUGAUGUCUUGACCUUGUGAUCCGCCCGCCUGGGCUUCCCAAAGUGCUGGGAUUACAGGCAUGAGACACUGCGCCCGGCCCAGAAUUAUUUUAAUGUAUGUAAUCACGGAAUUUCUUUUUCAAGUUUUACCUGUUAAAUAUCUAUAGUGCUAGUUUCCACAGAGACAUUUUGAGUGAAGCUUCCUAGAAUAAAAGCCAAGCUCCUUAACUGAUAGCACGGGGUACACCUGUUUCAGGUUGUUUUCAGUCUCCUUAUUCAGCCUGGCUUCCCACCCCUUGUUGCCUUGCUGUGUGACCUUCUACCUGAGCAAGGCACACACCACAGUGUUGUGGUCCUCUGUGCCUUUGCAGUUGCCCAUUCCUUUGCCUAGAGUCAUUCUUCCCCUUGCUUGCCUGGUGAACUGUUUUUCCCGUCUGUUCACACCCGGAAGAGGUGCCUCUCCCUAAGCAGGAGCCUUCCCUGACUCCUGUUCAGCAGAGGGAAUCCUCCCCUCAUCAUUCUACUCUACGCUUUGCUCAGUUCAUUUGCAUUUUGGGUGCACUCAUCAUGCUGGUUUGUCACUGUGUUGGUAGGUGUAAUGCAUUUCAAAAUUGAUGACAGAUUUCAUGGAAGGAAUCUGUGUAAUGAGUUUCUGGGUUAUUCCUAGAACAGCAUAGGGACUUAAAUGAUGUUUGUAGAAAAGGCGAAUGGUCGCAUUCCAUAUGCUGGGAGCAUUACCUGGAUUGGGAACUUUCGUUGAUGAAGAAAGGUAACAUAUACAUCAAGAAAAAAGCAAACAUGUUCUCAUAGGAAAACGAGAUAUGUGAGCUGUGUGUACCUAUAUAUGUGUAAAUGUAUAUGUACACAUAUCUGCGUAUACAUCUAUAAACGCAUAAUACACACACAUAUAGUUUCAAUGUAUAAGAAGAAUACAUACAAAUGCACACACACAAACAAAUGCGGAUUCCCUCACAAAAAUCAUUUUCCCCAGCCAUGAGACACCGCUAUUUAAUGAAGGAUUAUUAGGAAAUACAGGAAGAGAAACUUUACCAAGGGCACUGAAACACAUAGGUGGUUUUAGAAAUAAAACCUUGAUAUUUUUAUUCCUUACACAUAACCUUCGCUUAUAUGGUCUCAUCCAAACAACAGCCCUGCAUCAUCCUACGCAGGCUUCUAUUUAUCUACUUGGGCUGAGCUGACCCCACUGGAAAUCGAACAUUGCUGCAGUUAUUGAUCCAGGCACAUGGACACUGGCAAGGCUCCCUUUGUGUGACAUUUACAGAAGGGCCUGCUAGAGAGAGCGUUCUAAGUACAGAAGCAUCCACGAGACUGCUGCUUCCCUCACAGUCUGAUAGAAAGAAAUCUGUGGCCACUUCUAGCCCCACAAUGGAAUAGCACCACUGUGGUGCCUCACUGUGUAUUGUGCUGGGCAUGGCUUGGCUGUCCUGCUCACCCCUCUCAUUCCUCCAGCUCCUCUGCCUUGCUCUGACUCUUAAUGUAAUGUGACUGGUUGGUCAUGACCUUCACAUGCUGCACUGGUGCUCUGUUCUCUCUCUGCUCUGUCUCUCUGGCCUUAAGCUAUAGUGAACUCACUAAGCACGAGACUCCCUUUUAAAACAUCUAACUGAAAGGAGUGUUGUUUGCUUUCUGGCCCUCAAACACCAAGGCACUGUUGUGCUCCUUAAAAUUGUAAAUUAUGUCUGUUUAAGAAAAUGUCAGUGUUUUUUAAAACAGAAUAACAGUGCUGGAAAAGACUUGGCUGUGCAAUUUGUUACCAAAGUUUCAUGCAAGAAAAAUGAUGCCUUCAUCAUUAUGAGCACAGUCAAGGGUUCUAAUGAUUUGGGCACAAUGCCUCUUCAGUUCUUUUAAGAAAAAUGGAUUUUUUUUCUUUCUCCUCAGCAAGUUAUCUGAGUCAUGUCAAAGCUCAUAAACUGAGAUCCAGGGAGACAGUGUCAGUGAGGCACUAUACUUAACAACAAUUAAAACGUUAAGACACAUCUUUUAUAAUUAAAUUGAUUUUUUUUUUCUGCCAGAAACAAGACCUUUUCAGGUAAUGAUUGCUUUGGUUUUCUAAAAUUGUAUGUAUUGAGGCCAGGGAGGAGGAGAUCUGUUGUUACAUUUAUACGCCAUUUCAUGUGCCUUCAAAAUCCAAUUUUUAAAUAGGCCAAUAGGAUGAUUUUUGAGUGGGGAAGGGGAAAUAGCUAUGGAUGACCAGUGCGAUCGAUGUCAAAUCACUGCGCUGGAAAACAUAUUAUUUAGCUACAUAGAAUUUCAGCUCUGCAAGUGGACUCACAGGCUUAGGAAAGCAAGGAUGAAAAUGUUGGCUAAGGAGGCAGGCCUCUGAUUCCGAUGGGUUCUCUGGCCAGCUGGGACCUGGGCGAGGCUCUUAGCUUAGCCACACAUUCUCCAGCGUCACGCAAGCAUAAUGCUGUCACAUUUUUUCCCUGUCUGAAAUACGUUAAGAUCUAUAAAUCAAAAGGCUACACAUUUUAUAUUAAAAAUUGCCUUUUCAGGAUAAGUAUAACACCACACCCUCAAAAAGCUCAGUGUCUUUUUGACCCCUGGGUAACUGUUUGAAUCUGGAAUAUUUACCUGAAUUUUCCUUACGUGGCCUCCAUUCAUGUCAAGCAGCUGUUGGAAUAAAUACAAAGGGACUUGUCUGACUUUCUAGUAAUAACCUUCAUUUUUUUCCCCUCAUGGCUUGAACACAUUAUUUAGUGGAUUGAGUUUUACCUUUUUUUUUUUUUUUUUUGUAGAGGGAGUGGCUGCCUUUUUGUUAAAAUUACUGGAUUUUAUUAAGAGAUAUUAGGAGAAACUCUUGCCAUAUGGCAAUUUCAAAGAAAGAAAGGAAGAAAAAAAGAUAGCUGAUGUUUGCUUUUAUGUUUACCUAAUGUUUGAAAAGCUAGAAGUAACCCAGAGGAGAGCAGGCCAGGGGUUUUGUGUCAAUGGGUGGAACACACUUGCUAUGAAAUGUGAUGGAAUGUUUACUGAGCUAUUUUUCACAAAUAUCAAAAUGUUCCUGCUCUCAUAUCCAGUUGACACAGCAGUAGCCUUUUUAAAAAAAUGUUGCCUCUGUGAUGGGCAGGUAGGCUCCGUGUUGCCCUCUUUGGAAGUAACGGCCCAAAAUUGUGCCUGGCUGCACUCACACUGUUGGGCAAAUGGACAAACAGAUACACCCCAUUUCCAAACAUGGGGGAGCUGAGUUCCGUCUCUUUCUGGUAUUUCCUAAAGACACGUCUAAUGGAUGGGAGGAAAUCUAAUCCUGACAGAAUGUUUUCUUGCUGUCUAGGUUAACAUGUGUGUUUCUUUUUUUUUUAAGAGACUUCAUUGCAGUGAAUUUAAUACAUGAAAAUAGAUAUGAUAUUUUAUAAAAUGUUACAUCCUAAAAAUUAUUUUGAAUAUUGAUAUCUGAAAAUAUAAUUACAUAAAUAGUCGUAAUACAAUUGUAAAUCUACUUCAAAGAUGAUGAAAAUGCACUUAGUAACAUGUGUGUUUCUUUGCCUGACUCUCAACCGUGGGCCUGUAUCUCUGCAAUUCCGUGGCCCUGGGUGGGUGAGGGAGUGUGGCAUGUGAACAGAAACUGGAUCAUGGAGAGCACCAGGGAAUGGUGUGCACCCGAGCAAGCUCCUCAUUCUCUCUGAGGCUCUAGAUUCUGUUAGAUGAAAGCAAUGAUACCAACUAACCUGAUUAGGACAGCUAUUUGUAGUAAUUCUAUGCAUAGGGAAAGAGAUGAAAUUUAAUAUAAUAAAAUCUUAGCAGUGGUGAAGCUAGCGGAGUGGGAUUUUAGGACAAUCUGGUCUUCCGUGUCUCUGGAUUUUCUGUGAUUUUCUCUACACACACUCAUGCAUACAUGCACUCACUAGUGACAAGGACAACGAUAAGAGGCUUUGGGCAGGUCUUGACAAUGAAUAGUUCUUUAUACUUACUCUUCACCUGCACCAAUAGUCUUCAGUCAGAAAAUAAAAUAUAUGCAAAGUAUAUAUACUUUAUCCUACUCCUUCAUGGAUUGUUUUGAAAUUAAAAUUCAAUAAUUGGGCAAAAGUUCUUAAUAUCUUAUAGCUUAUUUUACAGGUAUUAAUUGUUAUUUUGGAAAUUAUAUUACCAUUACUCUAUUGCUAUCUGAAGAAUCUAGUUUAUCACAAAUAUACACAUACACAUAAAUUAUAUGAUUUUUGCAUAUUUAUCAUGUAUCUCUCUUUCUGUAUAAACAUAUAUAUUAAUUUAAACAUUAUUUGGGGUGUCACAUUUUUAUUCAUUGAGUGAGGGGAUGGAUGUUAAUUAAAACUUCAUUUUGGAAAUGUGAAGAUGAACUGUUUUGGAAGGUAGUUUUAAUAAUUUAAAAGUGUGUUUUUUAAAACAAUAACAAAAGACCAGAUCUUUAUGUUGUUUUAGUUAUUCCUGUAGUUUUAACAGUUCCAUAUUUUCCAAUUCUGUGAUUUUCUCUCUUUGAAAUUCACUUUAGAUG